CUCGAAAGCCAGCUUCACGAUGAACCUGUCGUCAUAGCACACCACUCGCCUCCCCUGCACUCGCCUGGAGGGCGUGAACACCAGGAUCUUCUCCUUCUCUAAUUUGCGCAGGAUUUCUUGAUCUGCAGGAACAAUCAGGGCUACUUCUCCAUGUUUAUUAACUGGAAUGGCUAAUUUAAAAAAAAAAAAAAUCGCUCUCUCCAGCGACUGAUCACGGCUGUGCUAUGAUACCAUGCUAUGGUAUGUGAAGCAUCAACCGCCACCAGCAUUAAGAAGGACCUCUCUUCGGGAAGCCAUCAGUCACUGGAGGAACAUGCAAACCAAGUAAGCAAAGGCUGGAAUUGCCACAACAGAAGGAUGAGCAGGGGACCCGGGAGGAGGGAACGCAAGAGCCAUUAGGGGUCUGCUGGCUCUGACGCUGGCAUACGGAUUUCAGUGACGUUCCUGACAUGAGAUCACCGAGACCAGAAGGUUGGUGUAGAAAAGCGGCAGAAUAGAAGUGGUGGAAACGGGGGUGUUCUCAUCAGCGAAUCAUGGGUAAAUCUCGGGUUCUGGCACUUUCUGUAUCCGGCAGUCAUAUCUUAUUGAGCCGGAGAGGCAGUCGGUCGGGUGGGAGAAGUCAGUGAGUCAGAGAGUUGUCAUGUGGCAAAGCACUCAGCACAGUGCCUGGCGAGUUCUCAAUAAACACCCUUCUUCAACUUAAUUUGAGAUAAAAAUCGCAGAAAACCAAUACAAAAUCAGAAGCCUGGUCUCAACUGUAAGACUUAUCCUACUCUAAUUAUUUGUGCUUCCCUGAUAGAAGAGACGUGGUGCCUGCCCUCAGAACGUUUAUGGCCACGGCCUUCGGCACGGUAGCAGAUACUCCGUAAGCGUCUGCAGAAUGAAGACAUGAGAUACUCUAGAGAUGCAUAUUCUGGGGUCCUCCAGGUUCCUGACUGUGUUCAUGAAUAACCCUGGUACUUGAUCUGUGGGAGUGUUUCCUCAUACGUGGUAUGCCACGAAGCGACUGAAGAAACCAGUGUGGUGGCCUAACGGUCAUCUUGCUUAAUCUGCAUUUUCUGUAAUAGCUAAUGAGGUAAAAAGGACACUGAUUAGGAAAAGAAAUCCGACCUUAAAUAAAUACGGGUUCAGUAUGGUUAGUAGGUUUAAGUGGCUCUCAGAUUCCUCACACAGUCCCUGAUACAUAGCUUGGUGCCUGGGAAGUAAGUGUUAACUUGCCGGAAGGCUGGCAGACACACUAGUCUGAAUCUUUAGGUGACAACUUGCAAGAUUUGUCAUGUUUUUAAGACGGUGAAAAAAUAACGGACUGUUAGCCAGGUAUGACCUGGUUACAGGUUUUAGUUACAACGAUGUCCCUGAGGGAGAAAACCCCUAACGGCCUUUAAGCGACCCCUGAACAGCACAGGACUUAGGGUACUUGCUGACCCCAGACGCGGUCGAAAAUCCACGUAACCUUGGACUCCCUCAAACAUGACUACUGUAGGCCAGUCGACAUGUAUUUUCUUUGUUGUGUGUAUUAUACACUGUAUUCUUCAAGUAAGCCACAGUGAAGACGGUCCCGUGAGAAUUACACGACCGUAUUGUAAAAGGUCGGCUUCAGAGUGGACCGGCGCAGCUCAAACCGUGCUGGUCAAGGGUCCGCCGUAGUUGCGUGCAUUUUACAAAGUCAGCCGCAGCCUGAGGUGUUCCGGAGGCUUGGCAGGCUGGCCUCUUAAACCCAGCCACUCUCCCCCUCCCUGUGGUCAUUUCCCCUCCUUCUUGGGCUCAUGUUCCUCUCGUGCUCAAGCUUUCCAGGCAUUGACAUGUUUCAAUAUGUUUUCUUUUUCCAUUUAGCUUUCCCCCGAUCACUGAAGUAUUACAAGUUCCUUGAGCAAAAUGAGGAAAGGUAAAGGGAAAUACUAAGAAGUGGGGAGAAACAAAACCUCACGAAGUCAUGACGCAGAGUCAAUUAGCGUGAACACUUCGGCUAGUCGUUUUCUGCGUAUUGUGUCCUCUCCAUCGGUGAUCUACGUACACACAUGCAUGUGUAUACGUGCACAUGUACACGCACACAGUAAUAAAUCCUUUCACGUAAAAGACCACUUCCUCGGAUCGUUAGAAGUUCUGCCCAAAUACUCGCAUACUCUGACUCCCCGAACCGUUCUAACGAAGCAGGUGAAAACACGGAGGUCCAAAGAUGUUCAUUCAGCAUGAUGCUCCCGGUCAAUGGCUGCUUGAGCUCCAUAAUGGAGACAAAUAUUCUUUACUUCUUGGUGCUAAGGAGGGGGUGAAUCAAGUAAGGUAAGUAAAUGCUCUGUUCAUUUUUAGCACAAACUGAACAUUAGGUGUAUUAAUAUAGUCUCGUAGACUCCUCCGAGGAAGUACUGGAACCAUCUAUAUCAUCCUUUUAAGGAUAAAACAGAGAUAGACCGACCUGCCCUGUAGAUACCGAAGGCUGGAGAUGCAGACUGCAGUGUUAAUACUCCACGUUCCAAAAACCGGGCUGGGGCAAGGUUAGGGGCAGAAUCAGAGGCAGUAAAGUUUCAGAGAAAGGGAUACAGGAAGGGGGAGUCUGAGGUCCUAUUUCCUAGGUAAGAAGGGCUACACGAUGGUCCUGCCGAUGCCCCAGCAAAGGACAAAGUGAUGUUGAGUUUCAUAGAAAAUACUCAAAUCAGUCUUUUGAAAAGCUAUAGGAAAGAAUGGGAUCAUCCCUUAAGAGACUAUAUAUACCGUUCCUAAAUACAAACACUCGCUAAAAACUGACCGUAUUUUUAUUUUGUAUAAAUGCUUUGAAAUCUAAGUGUGUUGUACUUUGCUAGUCCCGAAUGACACCUGGUUUACUGAAGCUUGUGCAUUUUACUGCUUCUGCCUCUACAUGAGCACUUGCUCCCUGGUGACUUCACUUGGGAAGGGAAAUGGUCACAUUUUACUGCAGAAAUAGAAGAUUCUAUCUUCUAAUUAAAGAAUGUUCACAAAAUGUGUGGCAACAGCAAAUCAUUUACAGUCACAGAACAGAGAUUCUCCAGAUGCUUCAAGGGGUAUCAGGCCCCGCAAUCCUGAUGGUAAAGGUUGUUGUCCUCUCCUUGUCCCACACCCCCCGUUGCCAUCCGACCGGCCCAAGGCGGGAGGGGACCACACUGUGAAUGAUGCACAAGGACAUAAAGAAAGCCUGGUUUCUGAGCAGAAAGACAUGCACCUAUCUCUCGGACCUUGUUAUUUCACAAAAAAUACUUCCCCCAUUUUAAGAAACUGUAGUCAAGUUUUCUGUUAGUUGUAGCUAAGGACAUCCUUGUCUGCUUUUUUAGUUGUACCAUAAACUAAAGAAAACUUGGAAAGCUCUUUUAAUGUACAAAAACAGAGGGAUAAAAAAGUUAUUAAACAAUGGUAAAAAUGAAUUCACAAAAACGAACAGUAAAAACGAAUUUAGGAUAGGAAGCUAUCCUAAUUGUGAACUGAGUAAUGGAAAUGAUGAACGGAUUACUAGAAGAAAAAACAGUAAUUGAACGAUGAAGCAGAAAACAUUUAGUGAGAAUAUAGAUGACUGGCUCCAUGACAAGCUUGAUCUCAUGGACAUGCACAAGACCCUGCAGAGAAUAAGAGAAAAAUCUUUUCAAGACCAUGUGGAAGAUUUAUAAAAUUGGCUACGUACUAUGCCACCGAACAGAUUUCCACAGACAGGGCUGUAUCCUACCGAUAAUAUUCUUUUACAGCAUGUUAUUACACUGAAGAUACAAGGUUGUAGUUAAAAAAUUUGUACUGUUAUACAGUAGCAAGCCAAUUUAAAGUUUUAAUUAACAAAAAUCCUAUUUGUAAAAGUAACAAAAACUAAAGUCUAAGGAGGAAAAAGAGAGGCAAGAGUUUUAUAGAGAAAACAAAAAGAGAAAGCCUAUAAUGAAGGCAUAAGACAAGACCUGGGGACGCCUGGGUGGCUCAGUCGGUUAAGUGUCGGACGUGGGCUCAGGGGAUGAUCUCAUG